rfam:Candidatus Liptonbacteria bacterium RIFCSPHIGHO2_01_FTLL_57_28 rifcsphigho2_01_scaffold_9173, whole genome shotgun sequence.
GGGCCUAUAGUAAAAUGGUAUUACGCGGCAUUCGCAUUGCCGAGGUGGGAGUUCGAUUCUCCCUAGGUCCA